rfam:Rattus norvegicus chromosome 10, whole genome shotgun sequence.
GGGGAUUUAGCUCAGUGGUAGAGCACUUGCCUAGCAAGCACAAGUACCUGGGUUCGGUCCCCAGCUCCG